rnacentral:rRNA from 1 species
GAUGAACGCUGGCGGCGUGCCUAAUACAUGCAAGUCGAGCGAACAGAUGAGGAGCUUGCUCCUCUGACGUUAGCGGCGGACGGGUGAGUAACACGUGGAUAACCUACCUAUAAGACUGGGAUAACUUCGGGAAACCGGAGCUAAUACCGGAUAAUAUAUUGAACCGCAUGGUUCAAUAGUGAAAGACGGUUUUGCUGUCACUUAUAGAUGGAUCCGCGCCGCAUUAGCUAGUUGGUAAGGUAACGGCUUACCAAGGCAACGAUGCGUAGCCGACCUGAGAGGGUGAUCGGCCACACUGGAACUGAGACACGGUCCAAACUCCGACGGGAGGCAGCAGUAGGGAAUCUUCCGCAAUGGGCGAAAGCCUGACGGAGCAACGCCGCGUGAGUGAUGAAGGUCUUCGGAUCGUAAAACUCUGUUAUUAGUGAAGAACAAAUGUGUAAGUAACUAUGCACGUCUUGACGGUACCUAAUCAGAAAGCCACGGCUAACUACGUG